rnacentral:lncRNA from 1 species
GUGGCUUCCUUUCUUAAGCCUCUCUCAGUCUUGGUCCCAAACCUGAGAGGCUUGUGCCUGGGAGAGCCCAGCCACUGAGCCGUGAUGUGAGAAGCCAAGACCGGCGGCGGAAGGUAUCCUCUCAGUGGCACACUCAGAGACACAGGUGUACAAAUAGCCACCUGAGACCUGACCUGAAGCCAGAGGAAACCAGCUGAAAGCCUGCAGAUCAGACCCAACAUGUGCAGCACCAGUGUGUACGACCUGGAAGAUAUCCCCCUGGAAGACGAUGAUCCGAACAGCAUAGAGUUCAAAAUCCUGGCCUUCUAUGCCAGACACCAUGUCUUCAAGAGCACCCCGGCUGUCUUCUCCCCCAAGCUCUCCAGGACCAGAAGUUUGUCCCAGAAAGCACUGG